rnacentral:lncRNA from 1 species
UAAUUAGCAGGAAUAGCAGAAUAAUUUUGUUGAUAAGGAUUGUGUAGUUUUAGUAUGUAGAAUUAAAUAUUUUGCCUAAGAAAAAAACACAUCUACAGCUAAAAUGUAAAUACACAACCAUGAGUCAAGACUGACAGCUUUUUCAUUAAGUCAUUGUGUUUUUUGAGCAAAUCCAACAAUAAACAAACUAACAGAGGUUGAGUAAGUUAGCAGGAGAGGAUGUUUUCAAUGCUGCUUGCAAUAUUGUUUGGUGUACUUUUAAUAUAUCAAUCUCUUCCCAAGAUGUUCUUAAAAAAAAAUAAAUAAAACCAAACUUUUACAAUUGCUGAAAUUUAAUAAUACAGAAGCAGCUCAAAUCAAUGAAAAAGAAUAAACUAUAAUUUAGGAAAACAAAGGAAAAACAUUCUAAUAAAUUCUGAUGCUAUUGCUAUUUCGCAGUUCUUCCCCAACAACCUAUGCUUUCCAUCCUCUAUAUGUAAAAUAGACAAACAGUUUUAGAUAGAAUAAGACAGAAUAAGAAACCUGAUUACUAUCAAAUAAAAGUAUACACCCUAAAACCUUACUUGGCCUUCACUAUCUAAAAUUAUCAUGCAUGCUAACAUUCCAGCAAAUGAGAAUAAACUAAUGCAGUUCACAUUUUUGUUCAAAUUGUUGUUUAUUUGUUUUGGUUUAUUUCUUUCUGUGUAAAUGGAUGUUGUCUUUCCAUAAAGGAAAUACAGUACAGAGUAAUUUCUAUUCCUAAAGGAAAAUACUCAGUGAUAAUAAAAUACAGUUUUUAAAAUACGGCUUUCAAUUACACAUAAACCAAAAUAUUUAUAAUGCAAUAAAAACCCACAUUAUUUUCAUCAAGUUGAAUAACAAAAACAAUCUAAAUAACAAUAAAAUUUAAUAUUGUUAAUGAUUUCUCUCUUCUCUUCAAUUGAAAUGUAUAGAAAAUUCCAUCAACAAAUAAAAUCAACAGAGCAGGGGAAGGAUUGCCAAUGAUAACUACCAUGGCUCAAAAAGCCCAACACACACACAAAUGGAAGAGUACUCAAUACCUGAGGUAGAGUGUAUAAUUUAUUAAGUCAGCAAAAUAUGUUUCAACCAUCCAGCUUGCAAAUUCUCCUCUGGAAUUUGAAAGCUGAAUAUCUCAAACAUUUUUUUUUUUCCCCUUUUGGUUGAAUUCCAUUGCCUUUUGUGAGUAUUUUUUGUAAGAAACCAUUUUGUCUUCUACAUUCAGGCACAACACACAUCCCUGUGCACAAAGAGCUGGAACAAAUACUGCAAAGCAUUUUCACCAAUAUUCUAACAAGUCUACCACUCUGCUGCCCAAAACUUUACCAACAAGGACAUGGAAGGCAAAGCUGACCUCAGAAAGACUUGAAGCCAGAACAUAGAGAACUGGAACAAAUAUCACAAGACAUUUUAUUUGAUGCUCGACUAUCAAUUCAUUUCACAUAUAUAUAUAUACACACACACACAUAAACAUACAUAUAUGUAUAUA